GAUGAACGCUGGCGGCGUGCCUAAUACAUGCAAGUCGAGCGAACGGACGAGAAGCUUGCUUCUCUGAUGUUAGCGGCGGACGGGUGAGUAACACGUGGAUAACCUACCUAUAAGACUGGGAUAACUUCGGGAAACCGGAGCUAAUACCGGAUAAUAUUUUGAACCGCAUGGUUCAAAAGUGAAAGACGGUCUUGCUGUCACUUAUAGAUGGAUCCGCGCUGCAUUAGCUAGUUGGUAAGGUAACGGCUUACCAAGGCAACGAUGCAUAGCCGACCUGAGAGGCUGAUCGGCCCCACUGGAACUGAGACACGGUCCAGACUCCUACGGGAAGCAGCAGUAGGGAAUCUUCCGCAAUGGGCGAAAGCCUGACGGAGCAACGCCGCGUGAGUGAUGAAGGUCUUCGGAUCGUAAAACUCUGGUAUUAGGGAAGAACAUAUGUGUAAGUAACUGUGCACAUCUUGACGGUACCUAAUCAGAAAGCCACGGCUAACUACGUG
rnacentral:rRNA from 1 species